rnacentral:rRNA from 1 species
GAUGAACGCUGGCGGCGUGCUUAACACAUGCAGGUCGAGCGAAGCGGCUGAAUUGAUUCUUCGGAUGAUUUUCAGUUGACUGAGCGGCGGACGGGUGAGUAACGCGUGGGUGACCUGCCCCAUACCGGGGGAUAACAGCUGGAAACGGCUGCUAAUACCGCAUAAGCGCACAGAGCUGCAUGGCUCGGUGUGAAAAACUCCGGUGGUAUGGGAUGGGCCCGCGUCUGAUUAGGCAGUUGGCGGGGUAACGGCCCACCAAACCGACGAUCAGUAGCCGGCCUGAGAGGGCGACCGGCCACAUUGGGACUGAGACACGGCCCAAACUCCUACGGGAGGCAGCAGUGGGGAAUAUUGCACAAUGGGGGAAACCCUGAUGCAGCGACGCCGCGUGAGCGAAGAAGUAUUUCGGUAUGUAAAGCUCUAUCAGCAGGGAAGAUAAUGACGGUACCUGACUAAGAAGCCCCGG